CAGCCAUCAUUUAAAGAAAGCGUAAUAGCUCACUGGUCGAGUCGGCCUGCGCGGAAGAUGUAACGGGGCUAAACCAUGCACCGAAGCUGCGGCAGCGACACUGUGUGUUGUUGGGUAGGGGAGCGUUUUGUAAGCCUGCGAAGGUGUCCCGUGAGGGAUGCUGGAGGUAUCAGAAGUGCGAAUGCUGACAUAAGUAACGAUAAAGCGGGUGAAAAGCCCGCUCGCCGGAAGACCAAGGGUUCCUGUCCAACGUUA
rnacentral:rRNA from 1 species